GAGAAGAAGUUGGGCAGGAGGCCUGAGCUCCUUAGGAGGAGGUGCUACCGUUGAGGAGGCGGGAGGAGGAUAUUCUUGGAGGAGGAGCGCGCUCGGUGGACUAAACGACUCUAGCGCCAUUGUGCGUUCACGCCGCGCCUCGAGCGAGUUCCAGCUACGCGGGGCACCACCACCGCAAGCUCCGCCCAGCCGGGCUCCAAGUUGUUAAAGAGCUAGAGGCCCCAAGUUGUUAAAGAACGGCCUAGGCGAGCAGCCGUAGGCACCUGACGUACUCGGCCUACAGAGGACACGGGAUCGUCACCAGUGAGCUAGAGGGAGAGGGCUUGCUGGGGCUGUCAUCCACGUACUCGGGUACCGGCCAACGUGGCCGCUACCCCAACCUCGCGUAUUAUCACUGUAGUUGGACUGACGACCGACAAUUCGUAGAAGAAACUGCAGGUAUGAUGGUGUAUAGAAUAAAUCAAACUGGAAGACACUCCUACUCCCGAAGCACAGAGUGUACUAUCACAAGAGAUGGUUAGAAUGCUCCGAUGGUGUUAGUAUUCGGUAGUACAAGUAAUCCCUUUAUUUCCAAGUCCUUUUCUUCUACCAAACCCCUUUGUGUUUAUACGACCCCCGUAUCAUUUCGACGUCUAGAUUUACGUACCUGUUAUAGAGGACGUCAAAACUAAGUAAAAAUAAGUCCAUUGACGAGGUCCACUCUUACUAUACGACGACGAGUACGGUUUCCAACACUAUGUAAAAAAAUACUAUCAUACUUAACUAACUACUACGUAGUGUUCAUCGUGUUCAAGACGUCAUAGGUAAAGUCAUUCUUCAAACGUAACUCAUUAAGAAAAGUUCUUCUUCGAAUGGUACGUGUUGAUCGAUCGCUUAUGAAGUAAGAAGCCACCUUCUGUAUCGUAUAUUAAUGGAACUCGUGUAGUUAUGUUCUAAAAGAUCGUAGUUCAUAACAAGUACCAAGUGAGUAUUACACACAAGACAGGUGAAAAGUUGAAUUAAAAUAAUUCUGAAGACCAAUAGUGACGUCCUCAACGUGGUCUCAGUUACUCCCAUCAGACGUAACGUUUGACACAAUUGAUAAGGUCUAAAAUAGUUGUAAUUUAACACGUAACGGUAACGGUAAAGGUAAAGAACGUAGUGGAUGGAACUUCAACUCUCCUAACUAAAAAAGACAUUAACAAGUUAACCUUCAUUUUUUAGUUGAGACGUACGAAUGUACUUCGAUCUAAGGACUUUUUAUCAACAAAAGCGUGUCAUAUAGUCAUAAAACAAAGGGCUAGAUUUUUUCUACACAGACUCGGACUGUGUUCUCAAACCGAUUAGACGUCAUACUGAGUAAUCAUCAUAAAAGAAUCUGUACAACUUAGUAAGGAGAUAGGGUCAUAAGUUUUAAAUGUAUAACACUAUAACAGUGUUGACAGUUCACAUCCAAGGUGUUGGUUCGUCUUCAACAGUGGUUUCCAGUUCUACCUUUAUCCAUUUUGGCCAUAAAUGUACAAUGUGUAGGCGUCGACAUCCUACUUGACGGUACCUGAAGACUGGUUGAUAGGGUAUGUAUGCUGAGAAAUUUUCCUACAAGAAGGAGAUAGAGAGGUACAGCACAAAAUAAGGUAGGGUCUGAAGUACCAAGGUAGGCAUGACCUAAGGGUUGUUCCUCUUGCACUAAGUCAGGUAGAUACGGAAGGGGAAUAGUAUAAGUUCCAAAACGUAAUGUCCUACUAACUACGCAGGCUACUCCUAGGUGUUAUUACACUUCAUUCCUCCGCUGUAGCCAUCAACUCCGACAGUUCACCUCCUUAUACAACCUAACCACCACCGUGCGUUUAGUGUGAGAUUUAGGUUAACCUCAAGUAGAUAAGAUGGUAGCGGGGUGCGGCAGCGUGAAGAGGAAUGGUCUAAUGUGCAACCUCCCUCCCCCCUUGGUCGACCCCGCCAGACGUUAGACGUUUCAGAUUUCAACUUGGGACGUGCCUGUAGAGCGGCUACGGCCGUUAUAAACCAAACCAAAGUCACUCGUGCACGAACUUGCGGAGUUUAAAAGAACUAUACAGGGAUGUCAAUUCCGACCGAGGAACUGCGAGUACGUCCGAUGGUCCUUCCUGGAUAAGUCAACACAACCAACAACACAAGCAAGAUUACCCUAUGUUCAGUGUACCGCACUACCUGUAGUCCUUAGUCUGAACACUACCUCUAGUCUGUCCGUCUUUAUACAAACGACAUUUAUCUCAUAUUCUCGAGGAUACUUAAUUAUACAAAUCUUCAAGUUACUAGCUAGAGUAGAAUAAUCAUUGACUCAAUUCGUUGUCCGUAUACAUGAUAGUCAAAAAUACAGACUGCGAGAACGGAAGGUAUGCAUGACUUAAUUGUUUUAAGGAUACAAGUCCUCCGCUACGUCGCGACCUUUUUUGAGUAGCAUCAUUAAUCGAUUAAUAACAUAUAACAGUCAAUAUGAAAAGAAGUAUAUAUGAUGCUGUAGUAAAAAGGGAGAGAUAGACGAUUGUACUUUAAACAUAUGUCUAUCUCUUCUGUUUGUCUCGAUAGUGAUAUCUGCGUAUUGCUUGAAGAGUAUAAAUGUACCAACUCAUAUUUACAUACAG
rnacentral:rRNA from 1 species